AUACGUUGUUGAAAAAACAUGACCAAAAAAAAUUGAACACAGAGCAAAUACGAGACAAGUUGGCAAAUAAUAAAGUUCGUAAAGAAAAAAUAAUACGAUGAAUUGUGAAAUUUCAUGAGGUUCCGAAAAGUAAGAUAUUGAAAUGCAGUGAUUCUUUCUUCGCAAGUGUCUUCUGUUCGGUGCUGGAGCGGAAGCCAGCCAAGAAAAGAGGUAAAUAAAAGCGUUGAACGAAUAUGAAAGAGUAAACACAUGUCAGUUCGUGUUCGAAAUUUUUUACGCUAACAAUUUGCACAAGCAGCGCGCUGCGGGAAGUGAAGCGUGACGAAGUCAAAGCCUCAAGAUGCACGCAGCACAACUCCGCGCUCAACGUGCAGCAACAGCCAAAGAAUACGUGAAAUUCGCCAAACCGCUAUUGUACUGCGCAGAGUUGCAUCGAAAGCCUAUAGUGCGUGUUUGGUAGUGAUGUGGCGAAACGAACGGAAUGUGCGAGAUGCAACCGAAUGCAGCGAUUGCAUUUUGAGUAUUGUGUGAAUGUGUCAAUUUUUGGUUAAAUUCACCGUACAUCGAGCAGUUGAAAGAACUUGUGCAAAGUGACGGCAAUGCCGUAAAAUAAAUCAAAUAUUGUCAUAGCACAUAAUAGAAGCAUUUGAAUAGCGGAUAUUUGUAUGUGAAAGACGCAGGGUGAGGCACACAGUUUGGAAAGUUGAGGCGUGCGACAUUUGCAAAGUACUCGCUUUUUGAGGCAGAUUGGCAAACUCAUUUGCGCAAAAGCCAAGAGCUUCAGGUGUACUAAUUCCACUUGGUCGCCGCAGUCACGAACAUCUUAUAGAAAUAAAAGUAAACACAAAACUGCCAGCGCUUUCUUCGCUCAACUUGUCAGUAUUAAAUUUUUAAUUAGCAUUCUGGCAAAGUUAAUGUUUACAAUAAAAUUGCAAACAGAUGGCAAAUAAAUACAUCGGCAGUUAAAAGAAAAGAACAUAUCUAUUUAUCUACCACCUGCAAUACAUACUCUUUAAUCAACACUAGAAGCAAGAGGCUUGAGAACCUAGCCAUAUAUAUGCAGUAGUUCAAGACACACCGGGGCGUAUGCGCAACCUCAAAUCUUCUUCAUGUUGGUAUAUGGUCUAAACUAACUAUACUAGCGGAAGGAACGGAAGGGAAGAACAUAUAUGCAGACCAUUCAAAGCCCUUGAAAGCAUAAUAUGGGUUUAUUCGAUCGAUUGUGAAAGAAAAGUGAAGGAGAAAGGGAGAGAGAGAGAGAGAUGACUCGCUUCUCAAACAAACCUCAAAGCAGUUGUUGCUCUUGGACUCAGUACGCCUUACUACUUACUAUGACAAUCCGUUGUUGCACUGUGCUUGCCAUCACUGAGGUCGCGUCACCAAUUUAAACGCUGCUUUGAGGUCACAGCUGACGCUUAGCCUCCUGCUCGGCAGCCACGCUUGGCGCCAGCGACGCCGACGUCGCACCCACAACCGUCUCGUUCAACGACACAGUUUCCACCAACACAGCUGGUCGAGGUUCGUACGGCGGCAUUCCAUCAGCACUGAGCACCAUGUCAACUGUAGCGCCAUGACACACGCCCACCGCCAGCAACGCAACGAACGCCAUACCGAUGAUCGCGAAGAAGCCACCUAUUCGCCUGCUGCUGUUGUGGUGGCUGAGGCCACCACCGGUGAGCGCCGAGUUAUCUGGAUCACCAUUGAUGCGCUUCGAACCCUCGAGGCCGAGCAGGUUUGGCGAGAUGGUGGUGGGCGGCGUUAUGCUCAACAGCAGGCGUUGUUGCACGUUCUUAUGGAAGACAUGCAGUAUGGAAACCUCGCAAAGCAGCAGUAUACUGGUCGUCUGGUAUUUGGGCACACCCUGGAAGAAGCCUUGCAGCACCUGGCUGUGUGGGUAGAUCUCGAGCGAGGAGUAUGUGGCGGAACCUUCGAAGGCGACAUGAUUGAUGCGCUGAAAGGGUGUUUUGUAGAUCUGUGGAGCGGAAACAGAGUGAGCGGAGAAAAGAGAAAUUAAUAUUUUGGUUGUUAAACUAUAAACAAAUCAUGAAACUAAAACUACUUUGAAAUGGUCUCAAACUCACCUUACGUCCAUUGAUGUACCAUGUUAUGUUAGCCGGCGGAUAUGACGGCCCCACCGUGCAGACAGCCUUGAAAUUGUCAUUCAUUGUGAUGACCUUUUUAUCCACCUGCAUGGCCGGCUCAUCCUUGGGCAGUUCGAUGACCUGCAUGUGUGCGGAGCGUAUAUCGGUGUGGAAGAGCGGCUUGUCCUCGGACACUUCGCACUGAUAGUUGCCGGUUAGUUCACGGUUGACACCCUUCAAUGUCACCGAAGUGGCGUCUGAGUUUGUGAGCUGCAAAGAGGGUGAACGAAAGUGUACUUUGAAACACAGCUUCAUUAUCAAGAGCUAAAAAUUUCAAAAUCAAGGUUAAAUAUUUAUUUAAGUAUGGGAAGCUGAUUAGCAGUUUCUAAUUUCUUUUGUCUGUAUAUAACUGUUACUAUGUAUUUUAAAUAUAAUUUAAAUUAAUAUAACGCAGUGUCACUUUUACUUUUAAAAUCACACAUAAGGCCGACUGGUUGUCACAAGACGAAUACGUUGAAAGUCUCGAAAAUUACAAAUGAAUAUAUAAAUAUUUCCAAAUAACUUUAACAAAAUUACCACUCUU